GAUGAACGCUAGCGGCAGGCUUAACACACGCAAGUCGAGGGGCAGCAUGAUCGAACUUUCGGGUUUGAUUGAUGGCGACCGGCGCAAGGGUGCGUAACGCGUGAGCAACUUGCCCUCAUCAGGGGAAUAACCGUUGGAAACGACGACUAAUACCCCAUAGCACAUAUUUAAGGCAUCUUUUAUAUGUUAAAGAAUUUCGGAUGAGGAUAGGCUCGCGUGACAUUAGCUAGAUGGCGGGUAACGGCCCACCAUGGCGACGAUGUCUAGGGGUUCUGAGAGGAAGGUCCCCCACACUGGAACUGAGACACGGUCCAGACUCCUACGGGAGGCAGCAGUGAGGAAUAUUGGUCAAUGGUCUGACGACUAAACCAGCCAUGCCGCGUGAAGGUGACGGCCCUAUGGAUUGUAAACUCUUUUGUCUUGAGGGUAAAAAAGCGGACGUGUCCGUUCUUGCAAGUAUCAGACGAAUAAGCAUCGGCUAACUCCGUGCCAG
rnacentral:rRNA from 1 species